rnacentral:rRNA from 1 species
CAGUCGCCGCGGUAAUACGUAGGGUGCAAGCGUUAAUCGGAAUUACUGGGCGUAAAGCGUGCGUAGGCGGCUUUUUAAGUCGGAUGUGAAAUCCCUGAGCUUAACUUAGGAAUUGCAUUCGAUACUGGGAAGCUAGAGUAUGGGAGAGGAUGGUAGAAUUCCAGGUGUAGCGGUGAAAUGCGUAGAGAUCUGGAGGAAUACCGAUGGCGAAGGCAGCCAUCUGGCCUAAUACUGACGCUGAGGUACGAAAGCAUGGGGAGCAAACAGGAUUAGAUACCCCCGUAGUCCCUGUCUCUUAUAC